GACGAACGCUGGCGGCGUGCUUAACACAUGCAAGUGGAGCGACGAACCAGGCUUCGGCCUGGGGCAGAGCCGCGAACGGGUGAGUAACACGUGGGUAACCUGCCUCGAUGACCGGGACAACCCGGGGAAACCCGGGCUAAUACCGGAUGUGCUCCUUCACAUCAGUGAAGACAGGAAAGGAAGCUUCGGCCUCCGCAUCGAGAUGGGCCCGCGGCCCAUCAGCUUGNGGUGAGGUAACGGCUCACCAAGGCUGCGAUGGGUAGCUGGUCUGAGAGGACGAUCAGCCACACUGGGACUGAGACACGGCCCAGACUCCUACGGGAGGCAGCAGUGGGGAAUCUUGCGUAAUGCGCGAAAGCGUGACGCAGCAACGCCGCGUGGGGGAAGACGGCCU
rnacentral:rRNA from 1 species